rnacentral:misc_RNA from 1 species
AAGUCGUAACAAGGUUUCCGUAGGUGAACCUGCGGAAGGAUCAUUACUGAGCCUGGGUGCUUCGGCGCCCGACCUCCAACCCUUUGUUUACCUUACCACUGUUGCCUCGGCGCUCGGGGGAAACCCUUCGCCGGUGGGCCUUUAACGCAAAAAAUACCCAAUUUGCCAAAUCCCAACGUCUUCUUGAGAAAAUUAUUUAAUAACUUCAAAA